rnacentral:rRNA from 1 species
AGACGGGGAGCACCACAACAGGUGGAGCCUGCGGUUUAAUCGGACUCAACGCCGGGAAACUCACCAGAUAAGACAGCUGAAUGAUAGUCGGGCUGAAGACUCUACUUGACUAGCUGAGAGGAGGUGCAUGGCCGUCGUCAGUUCGUACUGUGAAGCAUCCUGUUAAGUCAGGCAACGAGCGAGACCCACGCCAACAGUUGCCAGCUCGUCCUCCGGGAUGGUGGGGACACUGUUGGGACCGCCUCUGCUAAAGAGGAGGAAGGAAUGGGCAACGGUAGGUCAGCAUGCCCCGAAUUAUCUGGGCUACACGCGGGCUACAAUGGGUGGGACAAUGGGUAUCGACACCGAAAGGUGAAGGCAAUCUCCUAAACCCAUCCGUAGUUCGGAUUGUGGGCUGCAGCUCGCCCACAUGAAGCUGGAAUCCGUAGUAAUCGCGUUUCAAAAUAGCGCGGUGAAUAUGCCCCUGCUCCUU